UGCCAGCGCCGCGGUAAUACGGAGGGUGCAAGCGUUAAUCGGAAUUACUGGGCGUAAAGCGUGCGUAGGCGGUUUAUUAAGUUGUAUGUUAAAUAUCUUAGCUUAACUAAGAAAGUGCAUCCAAAACUGUUAAAAUAGAGUUUGAGAGAGGAACGCAGAAUUCAUGGUGGAGCGGUGACAUGCGUAGAUAUCAUGAGGAAAGUCAAAUGCGAAGGCAGCCUUCUGGCUCAAAACUGACGCUGAGGUACGAAAGCGUGGGGAGCGAACAGGAUUAGAUA
rnacentral:rRNA from 1 species